rnacentral:rRNA from 1 species
UACGUAGGGUGCAAGCGUUGUCCGGAAUUAUUGGGCGUAAAGAGCUCGUAGGCGGUCUGUCGCGUCGGCUGUGAAAACUCGGGGCUCAACUCCGAGCUUGCAGUCGAUACGGGCAGGCUAGAGUUCGGCAGGGGAGACUGGAAUUCCUGGUGUAGCGGUGAAAUGCGUAGAGAUCCGGAGGAACACCGACGGCGUAGGCAGCGCCCUGGCUGUGAAUAAAGCUGACACUGAGGCACGAAAGCUGGGGGAGCAAACAGG